AAAAAAAAAAAAAAAAAAGCCAAAAAAAAAAAAAAAAAAAAAGAGGGGUAACCUGCACUGGGUAAUAAAUACACCUCUCUGCUCACCUUGGAGAUUCUGAGGGAGCUUUUAAAACUCACACCAAUUAUGUAUAAAAAAGCUUGGGAGUAAAUAUGUCUUCACAAUAAAGGAUGCUUUUAUUCUUUGCACGAUUCAAAAAUUAUUCUCAGGCAUUGUCUAGAUACAGAAAAAAUUAAGCAUAAGUUUCCCCUGGAUGAUAAAACUGGUUACAGUCAACACAGAGAAUGAUAAAUUGAGUCCAUAGGAAAAACUUAUGGCAGAGGUUAAAAGUUAUUUGUGGGUAAUAAUCAUUUCAUGGGUUUUUUUUUUUUUUUUUGGUCUUUUUGCCUUUUCUAGGGCCACUCCUGUGGCAUAUGGAGGUUCCCAGGCUAGGGGUCCAAUCGGAGCUGUAGCCACUGGCCACAGCCGCAGCCACAGCAGAUCUGAGCCGCGUCUGCGACCUACACCACAGCUCAUGGCAACGCCGGAUCCUUAACCCACUGAGCAAGGGCAGGGAUUGAACCUGCAACCUAGUUGGAUUCGUUAACCCCUGAGCCAGGAUGAGAACUCCAGUCAUUUCAUGUUUUAUCCAUGGCGUCAAGAGUAAUCUCUUCAAAGUGAAAAAAAUAAACUGAUCCAUACUUAUGACAGAUGAUAAAAUGUAGCACAAAGGAGGGAAAAUGCAAAUGUCAGUGGAAAGAAGAGAGAUGUGGGUUUGCAUUUCUUUCUGCCACCUAAAUCUCUGCGGCCUUGACUUCACCUAUGUCAGGAUCGUAUGAACUAUUUGUGUAGUGCUAUAUGCAUGUAGUAAGUGCCCAAUAAAUGUUAGCAGUUGUCGUUAGAAUUCCUUUUCAUGUUUGACAACCAUGCUGUUAAAUUGUGUGAUGAACUAAGACCCAACGAGUUCCUACAUGAUCUUGUUUAAGAAGAAUUGAAUGAGAAGUCCAUCUGCAGGUACCACAUUGGGUGCAGGGGGAACACAAGGAGGAAUGAACAAAGGAUUUACAGGGUAUGGGAGGAGGUGGAUGUGCUGAGGAUUCAAACUCUAUCAAAACAAAAUGGCACUAGUGCCAUAUAAAUUCCUAGUACGUGCUGCGGAAAUAAAGAGAUGUCUAUGAUUUAGAUGAACUGUCUUAAAAGGUGGUUAGGAUUUUGAUUGUUGGGGGGUAGAAGUGGAGUGAAGGAGGGAAAGAUUUCCAGAUGGGGAGCUGCACGAGCAGAGGCCUAAAGGGAUGAAAAUGCAUGGUGAUUGCAGAGAAAAGGAUAUUGGCCAGUGGCUCUGGAGCCCAGGAGCCCAGGACAAAUAGGUGAAUCAGAGGAAAAUACGGCUGUCAUAGCUUGCAAGCAGGUCUCAGAGCCUCAGAUAUUAUACUAAGAGGAUAUAUUUAAUAUACUGUAUAUUUCCAAGCGUUCUUUCUCAAGGUGCAUGGCUGAUGGCAUUCAUGUACCCAGUGUAUUUUCAUGCAACAAAACAUGUACUGAAUCCUUACUCAUGCCAGGCACUGUUCUAAGUACAAGGGAAAACUAGACAUAGUCCUGCCAUCAUGGAGAGUGUCUUUCUAAAGAAAUAUAGGUGUGGGUCAUUUAGUGCAGGCUAUUCUUUUCCUCUUUCACUCAAGAGGACAUAUUAGAAUGCAAAUCCAUGAUAAUCUGGUUAUGAUGGGGAGAGCCUAAUGCAUAAAAUUGACAAUUAUGCACAGCCUGCUGCUUUAAAUAUACUUGUCAGCAGAUUACUAGUAUACUCAAAAUCCAUGCCAGCUCUUCUGAGGGUCUGCACCCCAGCAUUGACAACUGCCACUCAGGUUUUGGAGGGGGGAAGUGAUGUAAUCUGAGCAGGAACCAGAGGAUGCUGAUAUUAAGGCUAGUCUUCUGAGCAUCGUCAUCCCGUGAGUUCAUGGGCAGCCCUUCCCUGCGCAUCCCCUGAGACGUCCUCUUCUUUAUUUGUUGGCACCACCUCUGCACCGUAACAGCCAAAGGCACAGGUCUCAUCAGGGCACAUCUACCACAAGCCUUUUCCUCUCGUUAAACCUCCCCUCCGUUUGUUUUAUUCACCAUUCUCAUUUCUGUAGUUAUAUUUGUCUGGACCAGCACUGUCAGGUAGUCACCAGCCAUACGUGACUGCCGAAUGUUCAGAUUAUGGCUUGUGCUACUGAGGAAGGCAAAUUUAAUUUUAAUUAACUUCCAUUUAGAUGUCUUAGGUGGCUAGCAGUGAAUAUUAGACAGCAUGGAUCUAGACGUUCGAAAAAUGUUCAACUCCAUAGUCUAUUUCUUUGACAAUCAUAUGUCUGGCAAAUUAUUACAUUCAACGUUUAUAGUUUUAAAGUACCUGGAAUUAUUUUUCCAUAGCCAAUCUAUGGGUUUUUUUUUUUUUAAUUUAAAAUUCUCACCUGGAUCUGGGAGCGGGAAAGUCGAAUUGCUCUUCACUUUUUGUCUACACAUGGCUUUCCAGCCCUGGCAGCAGGCAGAAAAGAGAUGCCACCCCAGGGGUACAGCCCUGCUGUGGCUUUUUAUUUUAAUCUACCUCUUGCCAUUAUCUAUCCUAGGAAAAGAACAAUUUUCUUCUUCCUCUCUUUUCUAAACAGGCUAUCUCAGGGUAAAAAUUGCAAAAGAGAAGAGGUGGCUCUGUUUGGACAAAAAUGUACCCUGGAAAGAGACAUGAUUCCCCUUAUGAGGCUCCCACUUGUUAAGGGAUAUGGGGCAAAGGAGAGGGAGGGGUUAUCUGAUAGGUAACUCCAUGAACUGAAUGGUGCCAUUCAUUCCUAAAGGAUGCACGAGAGCAGGAAUCCAUCAGCAGGGCUAGGGAUCUAGUGCCAUCUUGGACAUGUCGAGAUCUUUGUGCUAAGACGUGCAGUCGGAUGUGGGGUAUAUGUUUGCACCUCUGAGGAAUGGUCUGUUCUGGAGAUAAAUGUUUGGGGGUCAUUGGCACAUGUUAGUGAAAGCUACAGUAAUGAUAAGAUGGCCCAGACACAGUUUGUAAGGUUAGAAAAGGAAAGGAUGAAAGACAGCACAUAGCCAUAGUAUUGGUAUUUACAUUCAAUAAAGAGUAGGGACUUUGAAUCAGGUAGGAGGAAAAAGCAAGAGAAGACAGUCCCCAAAGAUAAAAGGAGAGACAAUUCCAGGAAAAAGAUUUUCCAGUUAAGGAAGAACUGGAAAGUAGCCAUUAGAUGAAGCCCCAUGACAUAGAAAGUAGAGACUCCAGAGAGAACAGGUGACGUGGCUUUGAAGAAUGGGUAGGAGGUGAGAAAACGAGGGCAGCAAGCAUGGGCCACUGCUUGGAGAAGGUCUGUCUGUGAAGGGGAGGGAGCUGGAAUGGCUGUGGCUGGCGGGAGCUGAGAUGGGUGGAGAGGGUUUUGGAUUUGGUUUUGUGUAGUUCUGAAGGUGAGUUAGAGUUGGGUCUUGUUGGGGGUGGGGGAGUGGUCCAUAGAGAGGGGUUGAAGAUGCAGGAAAGGAAGUGAGCAUAUCAUCCAGGGAUGGUUUCCUGAGAAGAGGGGGCAUUUGGUCCAAGAGCAGAUGGAGGGAGGGAUGCCUUUCAGUUUAAGAUGGAGAGGACCAAUGUGGCCACAGGUAAGUUAAGAGGCUCGGUAGAUAGUAAGAAAGUCCUGUCUUAGGGAUGGCCUUGCCAAAACUUGUUUUAUGGCUAAGACUCUCUGUAUUCCUGAAGUGAUCUUUCUAUUUGACCUAAUAGAAAUACACUCAUAGAGUCAGCUGUGUUUCUGAAGCUGGUCCAGGGCUUUAGGAAAGAGAUAGGUCUGCUGUCAUCUGUAGAAGGAUUUCUCAGCAGCAAGUAGUUCUGAGGCUCUAAAAUCAAAAGAUGCUCUAAGUACCCCUUGAGUAAGUUAAAAGCAGGAAACGAGACUGAUAAUCACUUUGGCUUUCUUUCUUUGCAGUUUGUAUUGCCAAAAACAAAAACAAAACCCAAACCCUCUCAAAACACAUCCUUGAGUUUCUAAGGUGUAGACCCCUCAGCUGUGAGUAAGACUUUGGAUUGGCUUGGCGCUGCAUCCAGAGGUCCAGCGUUAGGAGCACCUGCUUGUGUAAGACAGGGUCUGUGGUGCCUGCCUGCCUGCCCACCCGCCUCGGUGCACAGCUGAAGCCUUCAUUGUCUUUGCAGGUGCCAGAAAACACAGUUGCUUCCAGCGGAUGGGGUGGGUUAAGAUCUGGGUGGCAUUAGCUUCUGAGAAAAUCUUGUUAUGCAAGAUGAAAAUAUGACUAAACAUUAAAACACUUAAUGAUUUCUUAAAAUAACCUACCCCUUUCAUGACAUCAAAAACAGGAUGUAUAAAACCCAUAUCUAGUUUUCAACAUAAACAUUUCAUUAUGUGAAUAUUUCUCCAAUGUGAAACAGAGCAGCUGUUUCUCCAGAUGCCACAUCAGGGCUCUGGAGGGAAGAGUUGCUCAAUCCAAUACCAGAGUUAGACUCGAUAUUGAGAGAAAUACUAUAAGAUGUAUCUGGUCUAAUCAGUAAGCCUCAGUGAACCAAAAUUUAAACACACAGCAUGGAAUUAAUGCGAGAAUUUGGAUUACAUUCUAAACAAGCGAAAUGUAAUUGCUAUGCUUUUGAGCUUACCACAUUCUAAUUCUUAUUAUUUAAAACCUAUUAAGAAUCCAUCACAAGAAACUCUCUUUGUUUUUCCUACAAUCAGUUGUCAUUGUGGCAGCCAAUUGUUUUGAGAGAGAAAGUACAACAUUAUUAUUUAUGAGAAAGAGCUGACACACACAAUCCAUAUAUUUAGCUGACUCUAAUAUGUCUGGGCCAGCAUAUUAAAUCAUAUGCAUAACUACUUGAAAGAUAGAUCCAGAAGGUUACAGGUAAUUUUUAUGCAGGAACCAUCAACCCUAUACUGAAAUGAAAAACUGCUCAUAAAGUCGUCUGUAACCUAUUGCCAUUCUGCAAGUAGAGUGGUGAAAUGAAGAGCAAGAGAAAUUUAUGGAAGGAUUCCAUUGCCCUAGAAUGAGUUCCCUGAUAAUUAUGUAAAAAAAGUGGAAUUAAAAAAAAAAAUCUGCAAAAAUGGCAAAUUUUCUGGAAAAAACUUCCUAGGAAGAAAACUAUUUGAUUUUUUUUUUGACAAAUAAAAGUCUAUGGAAUAUUCCUCUGUUUCUAAAUUAUACAUAAAUAAAAUGUUCACUUAUAUUGCUUAAAAAAAUCCUUAAAAUAUUCACUUAUAAAGCUUAAAAAAAUCCUUAAAAUAUUCUAACACACUUCAAAAAGUAUAUGAUUUUAGUAAAUAUUUGUGUUGUCUGUCCAUGUGGGAAAAAUACUGCCAGGUCAAAUGGCAAUAUGUUAACAAUUCUUAUCUCUGAUUGGUGUGAUUAUAGGCAUAUUUAUGAUUUUUCCUUUAUUAAUGAAUAUUAGCCCCGGGCGUGUAUUACUUCCAUGAUUACUAAAACACAACCUACC
rnacentral:lncRNA from 1 species